rnacentral:rRNA from 1 species
GAUGAACGCUGGCGGCGUGCCUAAUACAUGCAAGUCGAGCGAACGGACGAGAAGCUUGCUUUUCUGAUGUUAGCGGCGGACGGGUGAGUAACACGUGGAUAACCUACCUAUAAGACUGGGAUAACUUCGGGAAACCGGAGCUAAUACCGGAUAAUAUUUUGAACCGCAUGGUUCAAAAGUGAAAGACGGUCUUGCUGUCACUUAUAGAUGGAUCCGCGCUGCAUUAGCUAGUUGGUAAGGUAACGGCUUACCAAGGCAACGAUGCAUAGCCGACCUGAGAGGGUGAUCGGCCACACUGGAACUGAGACACGGUCCAGACUCCUACGGGAGGCAGCAGUAGGGAAUCUUCCGCAAUGGGCGAAAGCCUGACGGAGCAACGCCGCGUGAGUGAUGAAGGUCUUCGGAUCGUAAAACUCUGUUAGUAGGGAAGAACAUAUGUGUAAGUAACUGUGCACAUCUUGACGGUACCUAAUCAGAAAGCCACGGCUAACUACGUG